rnacentral:rRNA from 1 species
AGACGAACCGGACAAACGUUAUUCGGAAUCAUUGGGCUUAAAGGGUGCGUAGGCGGUGCGGAAAGUUGGGUGUGAAAUCCCUCGGCUCAACCGAGGAACUGCGCUCAAACCUUCCGUGCUAGAGUGAGACAGAGGUGAGCGGAACUGAUGGUGGAGCGGUGAAAUGCGUUGAUAUCAUCAGGAACACCGGUGGCGAAGGCGGCUCACUGGGUCUCUACUGACGCUGAGGCACGAAAGCUAAGGUAGCGAACAGGAUUAGAAACCCCAGUAGUCC